AGCGCGUUAAAACCGCAUCCCCGCAGGAGGCUCGGCCGCCGCGCGCCCGCGGCCCUCCGUCCCGCCCCGGCCGGCUGGCGGUCACCUGGCACACCAGCGCCCGCAGGAUGCCCAGGGAUCACAUGCAGUGGUCUAAGGAAGAAGAAGCAGCAGCCAGAAAAAAAGUAAAAGAAAACUCAGCUGUGCGAGUCCUUCUGGAAGAGCAAGGAACUCUCCGGAGUCCUUUCUGUAUUGUUGUGAUUUUGCUUCUGGAGCUGUGGAGCUCGUAAAGAUGGGAUCCUGGAUGUCAUUCUCCUUGUCUUUGUGCUCUCUUCUAUUCAUCCUGACAGGAUGCAAGGUGUUGUAAACCGACUGUCCAAGUUACUGAAACCUGGGGGAAUGCUGUUAUUUCGAGACUAUGGAAGAUAUGAUAAGACUCAGCUUCGUUUUAAAAAGGGACAUUGUUUAUCUGAAAAUUUUUAUGUUCGAGGAGAUGGUACCAGAGCAUAUUUCUUUACAAAAGGGGAAGUCCACAGUAUGUUCUGCAAAGCCAGUUUAGAUGAAAAGCAAAAUCUGGUUGAUCGCCGCUUACAAGUUAAUAGGAAAAAACAAGUGAAAAUGCACCGAGUGUGGAUUCAAGGCA
rnacentral:lncRNA from 1 species